CAGAGCUCGGCAAAUAAU
rnacentral:tRNA from 1 species